AUGGCGCUGAGCCUGCGCGUCCCGUCGUCUUCGGCGUCGCCGGCGGUGGGGCGGCGCCAGCGGGCAGCGGUGAGGUGCGGGGCGACGCGGGCGAGGCCGGCCGUCCCGGGCGGGGGGCUGGAGGAGGACCACUACCGGACGCUGAGGCUCGCGCCGGGGGCCUCCAGGGGCGAGGUCAAGAGGGCCUUCCGCCGCCUCGCGCUGCAGUACCACCCGGACGUCGUGCGGGACGGCCACCAAGACGACGACGGCGUGGACUUCCAGCGGAUCAACGCGGCGUACCAGAGGGUGAUGAGCAACAUACGGGAGACGGAGGCGAGGCUCGAGUACUGGCGCCGCCGCUACGGCCUCGCCGACGAGGACCUCGACCGCUACCGACACUACCUCAACGACGAGGACGAGGACGACUGGUUCGCAGACCUGUGA
rnacentral:rRNA from 1 species